UAAGUCCAGUCUCAAAGCAGAGGCGGAUGCGUGUUUACACGCAGAUCCGCAGAAGCUUUAGAGACGACAACAUGCAUGAGUGUGAAGGACGAAUGUCCGGAACACGAAUGCAUGUAGCAUGGCGAGAGCGCGAAGCGUGGAGCCAUGCGUAGGACUUA
rnacentral:sRNA from 1 species